rnacentral:rRNA from 1 species
AGAGUUUGAUCCUGGCUCAGGACGAACGCUGGCGGCGUGCCUAAUACAUGCAAGUCGUACGCUUCUUUUUCCACCGGAGCUUGCUCCACCGGAAAAAGAGGAGUGGCGAACGGGUGAGUAACACGUGGGUAACCUGCCCAUCAGAAGGGGAUAACACUUGGAAACAGGUGCUAAUACCGUAUAACAAUCGAAACCGCAUGGUUUUGAUUUGAAAGGCGCUUUCGGGUGUCGCUGAUGGAUGGACCCGCGGUGCAUUAGCUAGUUGGUGAGGUAACGGCUCACCAAGGCCACGAUGCAUAGCCGACCUGAGAGGGUGAUCGGCCACAUUGGGACUGAGACACGGCCCAAACUCCUACGGGAGGCAGCAGUAGGGAAUCUUCGGCAAUGGACGAAAGUCUGACCGAGCAACGCCGCGUGAGUGAAGAAGGUUUUCGGAUCGUAAAACUCUGUUGUUAGAGAAGAACAAGGAUGAGAGUAACUGUUCAUCCCUUGACGGUAUCUAACCAGAAAGCCACGGCUAACUACGUGCCAGCAGCCGCGGUAAUACGUAGGUGGCAAGCGUUGUCCGGAUUUAUUGGGCGUAAAGCGAGCGCAGGCGGUUUCUUAAGUCUGAUGUGAAAGCCCCCGGCUCAACCGGGGAGGGUCAUUGGAAACUGGGAGACUUGAGUGCAGAAGAGGAGAGUGGAAUUCCAUGUGUAGCGGUGAAAUGCGUAGAUAUAUGGAGGAACACCAGUGGCGAAGGCGGCUCUCUGGUCUGUAACUGACGCUGAGGCUCGAAAGCGUGGGGAGCAAACAGGAUUAGAUACCCUGGUAGUCCACGCCGUAAACGAUGAGUGCUAAGUGUUGGAGGGUUUCCGCCCUUCAGUGCUGCAGCUAACGCAUUAAGCACUCCGCCUGGGGAGUACGACCGCAAGGUUGAAACUCAAAGGAAUUGACGGGGGCCCGCACAAGCGGUGGAGCAUGUGGUUUAAUUCGAAGCAACGCGAAGAACCUUACCAGGUCUUGACAUCCUUUGACCACUCUAGAGAUAGAGCUUCCCCUUCGGGGGCAAAGUGACAGGUGGUGCAUGGUUGUCGUCAGCUCGUGUCGUGAGAUGUUGGGUUAAGUCCCGCAACGAGCGCAACCCUUAUUGUUAGUUGCCAUCAUUCAGUUGGGCACUCUAGCAAGACUGCCGGUGACAAACCGGAGGAAGGUGGGGAUGACGUCAAAUCAUCAUGCCCCUUAUGACCUGGGCUACACACGUGCUACAAUGGGAAGUACA